rnacentral:rRNA from 1 species
AGUGAACGCUGGCGGUAGGCCUAACACAUGCAAGUCGAACGGCAGCACAGUAAGAGCUUGCUCUUACGGGUGGCGAGUGGCGGACGGGUGAGGAAUACAUCGGAAUCUACUUUUUCGUGGGGGAUAACGUAGGGAAACUUACGCUAAUACCGCAUACGACCUACGGGUGAAAGCAGGGGAUCUUCGGACCUUGCGCGAUUGAAUGAGCCGAUGUCGGAUUAGCUAGUUAGCGGGGUAAAGGCCCACCAAGGCGAUGAUCCGUAGCUGGUCUGAGAGGAUGAUCAGCCACACUGGAACUGAGACACGGCCCAGACUCCUACGGGAGGCAGCAGUGGGGAAUAUUGGACAAUGGGCGCAAGCCUGAUCCAGCCAUACCGCGUGGGUGAAGAAGGCCUUCGGGUUGUAAAGCCCUUUUGUUGGGAAAGAAAAGCAGCAGGUUAAUACCCCGCUGUUCUGACGGUACCCAAAGAAUAAGCACCGGCUAACUUCGUG